AACAUCUGCAUAAAAGGGUGUAUGGGAAGCAAAUGGACCGGCAACAUCUCCAGAUGGAGGUACCCGAGAUGUAGAUGCAUAAUAGUUCCCCUCUCUCGUCUGUCUCACGUCAUCCUCCAAUUCAGUAGCUCUUUCGCUAGCGCUGGACCUUCUUCUGGUACGUCUAUCUCGCUGCGGAGAAGGUAUAGGAGGUAUGGCAGGUAUCGGAGGUAAGCUGGACGAAGCACCAUCUCUACGUAGAAGUUGAGUCCCAGCUGCAUACAUCCGUGUAGCGUUGUCCUGAAACAGAUCAUAUAUCUGAUCGUCAUCUCGAGAAACUGCCCUAGCAGCAAGACUCAUGGAUAUAAGCUGAUUACCC
rnacentral:lncRNA from 1 species